GUUGGAGCGAUUUUGUAUAUCAGCAAAGGUGUGUGCCCAGGCAGUGAAGAGGUUGGCAGAUAUCAUCCUAAGGACGAAAAGGCAAGAUAAAGCGCACCCCACUGUUGUCAUCAGGCCAACCUCACACGUGGAAGGAGGAACAUGUUUCUAUUUCUGCCUAUUGAUACUUCUUUCCAGCAAAUGGCUCUGGUUGGCAGCUUUCUCCACAUAAAAUCCACAAAAGAAGAGGCUUGAAAAUCCCCAGGGGCAUUGUGGCGUUCAGCGGAGCAGGAACAACUGGUAAUUCCUGGUCUCUGGUCUCCUUCUGCGGUUGAGGAGCUGGCUGUGGGCCGGUGACUCACUGCGCUGGGAUGGGGAGACUAAUCCCUUUACUGUCCAGCUAAUGCCCACGGUGACACACUACCACCCUCCAGGCCCAGGGAGGGGCUGCGGCUGCAGGGGUGAAAAGACUAAAGCAACUCCAGGGACAUGUAGCAGAAGUGUCCCUCCAGCUCUGCUCCCGUCCUGCCCAAAGGAGCACACCAAGCCUGCUGCCUCGCACGCUCUGCUGCUGGUGCCCAGUGGGAGACAGAGCAAGGCCAGGGCACCGAGCCCUGCACCGGGGUCACCGUGAAGCUCAAGGAAGCCGCACGCGGUGCCUGGCGGAGAAGCAGGCUGCUGCCAGGCAGCUUUGUGCAUUUGGUGGCUUCAUUGGGUACUCAUCAAACAGUUGGCACAAACACCUCCCUCCUCCCGCGACAGGAGCUCGCGCUUCAAAAAGCCUCAAACUGCUCUGAAAUGUGAUAACAGCGUCUGUCAAUUUCUGCACAUAGAACGCUGUUUGCUACGGCAAGACUAUUUGUCUUGGCCUUCUGGAACUGUGUGGACUUCCAGACCAAUGAUUCCCCGCACCCUGGAGCAAGGUUGGGGUGGCGAAUGGGGCAUAAGUGGGUAGGGCAAGAUGGUGGAGAGGUGGUGGGGAGCUCGUGGGAGCAGCGACCUCUCAGCACUCCGUUUGUGGGGUGGGGAGGGGGAGGGUUCUGGGGACAUUCCUUAGCCAGGCGGCAGGCACAGCUGCGACCAGCGGCAGCUGCAGAGCCCAGAAUGGGUCUGAGCGUGGCCUCUCCCUCCUUAGGGCUGGCGGACAACCUCCUGCUACCCCAGCUGCGGUGCUGGCUCUGGCUGGCAGGGGCAGGACACACAGCCUUCCCCGUGCAGGGAAGUGUGAGCAGGUGCAGAGGGGGAGGGUGUCUUAGGAGGUGAAGGACAAUGGAGGUGAAGUGCAGAGGUGGCAUUGUGCCUGGUGUUUGUGGGGACUGAGAGGAGGACACGGUCAUUGUUUUGAUCAUUUGUAAUUUAAGCCUAACUCCUUCUAAAGGAGGUUCUGCUGGAAUGGGGCAUGUGUGUAGGCGAGCUGUGGAAAGUAGGGCUGAGGAAGCAUUGAAAAGUUUUUGAGUUGGGGUAAGGACAAGAUCAAGAGGCAAGUUGACCUGCAGGGUGGAGGGAAACUGGAUGGAGCACACUCACUGGAGGCUGUCCAGUGGUUCUGGUGGGAGGCCAUUAUGGACUAGACAAGGAAAGGGCGGUGGGAACGGAAAGGGGAGCAAUGGAAGACCCAGUGCUUGGGCGCAGCACACAGGACUUGGGUGUGCUGCUCUUUUCCGUCCUCAGCUCUGGUGCAACAAUGUGCUCAAGGCUGUCCCUAGGAGCUCAGCGGACCCCUAAAGGUCCUGGAGGACGUCUGAGUUAUGUGACAAGAAGUCUAGCAGAAACGUCUCUUAGGAAAGGUGAGGAUACUUCCUGCCAGACGCCCCGAAGAUUAGGGAUGAUGGGGCAUCCAUCUGAGUGAGUCAUUCCUGGGCCAGGAUGCUGGAUGGAUCCUCAACCUCAGCCACCGCUCCUGGUGUCCCAAGACUCCCACAGCAGUCCUUUAUCAGGCCACCAACCAUGUCAGCUCUUGGAUUUAGCAUAUUUGGUGUGCUUUAAUCCAUUGUGGUUAUUUUCCUAUUUAUGCUCAAAUUGUCUCAUUUUCAGCUGGUAGGAACUUAACUCAAGUUGGCUUUUGAGUCCUUUUAAUGUGAUCCCAGUAGUUUUGGCUUUGGUAUGACAUAAGCUUUAGGCUCUUCUGCAUUUCCUUCCUCGGACCUGGAAUCAGCUAUUUCUCCAAGUGGCUCUGGUUCCUUUUGGUGGGAAACGGUAUUCAGAGACCACAGCCUGGGUGUAUUUAUAAUCUAGUUCUGCACCUAGUUUCUUCACUUAACCUAUGGCUGACAGAUGACACAAUAUUGGUAAACGGAGGUAGCCCUCAUUCCUGGUGACAUGCCAUUAUGUAGACAUGCAUUCAAUUAGUUCCUUACUGAUGACUAUCUGAGUGGUUCCAGUCUCACUAUCACAAAGUGUCCUGCAGUGGAUAGCUUUGUGCAUGUGUCUUUGCCAGUGUGUCUUUGGAAUAAAUCCCUAAGAAUGGGGUCACUGGGACAGAGGAUGGAGGCACAUGUCAUUUUCCUGGAUAUUGCCCUCUGCGGAGAUGUAACGUUUUUCAUUCUGAUAAGCCAUGUUUGAAAAUGCCACAGCCUUUCCAGAAGUCUUUGAUGUCGGGGGCCGGCCCUGUGACCGAGUGGUUAACUUCACGCACUCCACUUUGGUGGCCUGGGGUUUCGCUGGUUUGGAUCCUGGGCACA